UUGGUUAUAUGGCUACCACCAAAGUAGAUAUGGGAAUAAAGGUUUUUUGUUAGGUGCCAUCCCUUUCUGGUUUCAGGUAAGAGGUUUAUUUGUAAAUAAUGACAUAUCUCCUAUACAAAUUCUAAGAGAAUGAAGUGCCCUUGUCCUUAAAGGCCUGGGAGCCCUGAUCAGUAGCUUUAGCUAGAAAUAUUAAACAAAUGAUAAGCCUUUAUUUCCUCUUUUAUACCUGUCUUAUAUCUGCUCUAUGGAAAUAAUUCCCUCUAACCCUCUCAAUUAGCUUCUUCACUUACAGUAUGUACUUGCCAAAUAGAUAAGCUGAAACAUAUUUUCCUACAAAUAAUUAUAUUUUUUCCUGUCAGUAACCUGCUUUAAAUAUGGCCAUUGGGCUCAGAACAACAGUUCUGCUCUUGUAAAAAUAAAAAGUUUUGGGGGACCUCAAUGGAAGGGAAACCAAUGCAGUUUCUUAGCAUGCUCUAAUGCUCAGGAAGGACAAUACUAAACAAACCAUAGUAGUUUUUUUUUCUCCUUGUAAAACUCCCUGGACUAUGUAAUUCAAUAACCGGCAAUAGAAGAAUAUGCUUAAGAAUAGAGGCAGUAUGAACUCUGAGAAACAUUUGCCCUUAAUUCAUUCUAAAAUUUUCAUCUUUUGCUUCGAGUGAAUGCACAAUGCCCCUACUGUAUUAUCAAACAUAAAUUCAAUGUUGUCUUCUUCCUGGUAUCAGUGAGUGUCAAAUUAUUGUUUCUUCAACAUACAAAAGUAUUUGUGGAAGGCUUUAUUUCUGAUCUUUAGAAAUUUUUGCCAGAGGCAAAAUGAAACAGAAAGCUGUUUGUUGGGAAAGUUCACUGACAAAAGGAGUUUAAUAUAUAUGUCACCCUUCAUUUUUUUCUUCUUCUUUUUUUCUUGUAAAAGUUCAGAAUGAUUUUUUAUACAGGUGUUUUGUGUGCAUAUAUGCGUGGAUGGGUGGUGUAUCCUCUUCUGAAACCAUGGUGUAUAGAUACUUUUUAAAAAUGUUUCCUAUAAAAUUUAAUAUGCUUAAGGAAUUAAAAGAAGUCUAGGUGAAGAAUUGAAUCUUAAUCUUAUUUUAAGAUUUAUUUUAAAACUGUACUUUUGAAACAAAUCAGCACUGUUUAUUUAAAAAAAGAUGAUUCUGAAAGAUGCUGAUGAUAAAGAAAGCAGAGUACUCUUAAAACAGUAGUAUUGGAAAGAAUUAAUGUGUGAUGCACUUAUUUACCAGACUAUUGUCACAUAUUCUAUAUCCAUUAAAGAAUAUCUAUACUUUCUGAAGUCUUAACUGUUAAGAGACUGUAGCUAUAGCUGUCCUGUUUAGUUGCCAUACCAAAAGUGAAUCGUCCAUCUACUAAUUAUCAAUAACAAUUCAUGAAAAGAUUUCAAGGUAAAACAUAGCCUAUAGAAUUUUGUACCUUAAGUAGAUGUACCUGGCCCCAUUCUUGACUAAGCUUUUAGGAAACUUUUAGGAAACGUUCUAUUCCAGUAAGCUGCACUCAAUUGUCUAUUUUGAUUGAUUUUGACGGAUCUCUUUUACUUCAAUGUCUACUCGCUUUGUGCUUACUGUGUUUUUAAUAUUAAAAAUAGAAAAGAGGAGCAUAAUUUGCUUUCAUAAAUAAGGCUGCGAUCAAACCUGCUCUAUAUGAAGAUUUAACUGAAAGAAGCAUCUGAAUAUGUCACAGAGAAAGAUCAUGACAUCAAUUUACUGAAAAACCAAAAUGUAAACAACAUCAGAAACCUGAAGCAGAAGGAUUUUUGAUGCUUGGAAAAUCAUGACCAUCAAGAAGAAUCAAUACACAAUCUUCUUUCUUGAAAUCUUUGUUGCUAAACCAAACUAUUAUUGUUAUUAUUAUUAUUUCCAAAAAUAUGAAGAAUGAUUCCAAGUUUUACCCUACAUGAAAUUCAGAAGAAAUAUUUUUAAAGAAUCAACUUGCAUAGUUUUCAAGUAUUAAUUUUCUCAUAUUAUUUUCUCUUAUAUACAAAUAAAGCACAAAUAUUCUAUUUUUUAAAAAAUCCAAAAACCUCAAAAGCAGCCACCCUAUUUAAUCAACUUAAUCACUGUAUGAGUGAAGGGUGGUACCGAGAAUGUGGUUAGACUUGGCAGACAUUGGAAUGAAUGCUAGGAAAGGACUAGUCAAAGGCCAUGUUUUCUUUUUUUUUUUCUUUUUACAAAGAACCUUAGUCAACUUUCAAGGGAAGUAUUGGUUUGUUGCUAUAACAACUUAAUCCCUUUAAAGCCAUUCAUCAUGCAGGGUGUAUUGAUCACCAUGAUGCAAGAGCUGGGUGGCUGAUUUGCUUGGUUCAGAUUAAGGUAUUCAUGCAAUGCUGUCUCAAUUCUUAAAAGAAAAUAGGAUUAACCAUGUACUUUGCACAAAGAGACCAUCUCAAUUUCAACCAGGAAGCAUUAUGGUUAAUAUAAAGGAAACAAAAAAGGAAAAAAGAAAGCACUUCAGCAUCACUUGUAAAUAUAUGGAGUUUAAAU